UGUAUCAGAUGAAAUACUCUUUAAUCUACUCAAAAUAAGAUAUUAGGCACAAGAUCAAAAUAACAGUUGCAUCAAGACCAUGGAGCAGAUGAACUCAAGUGGAUCCAAAUACUUGCAUCAGAUGAAAACCCAAAUCACAAUAACUUGGUCUCAGAAAUGUUGGCAUUGGCUAAGUCCUUUUGCAUAUGGAAUGUUGCCUAAUUCUAAGUCCAGAAAUUC
rnacentral:lncRNA from 1 species